CCCGCACAAGCGGUGGAGCAUGUGGUUAAUUCGACGCAGCGCGAAGAACCUUACCAGGGCUUGACAUCCCCUGACCGCGUAUGAAAGUACGUUUUCACCCUCGGGUGACAGGGAGACAGGUGGUGCAUGGUUGUCGUCAGCUCGUGUCGUGAGAUGUUGGGUUAAGUCCCGCAACGAGCGCAACCCCUACGUUUAGUUGCUAACGCGUGAAGGCGAGCACUCUAGACGAACUGCCGUUGACAAAACGGAGGAAGGUGGGAUGACGUCAAAUCAUCAUGCCCCUUAUGUUCUGGGCUACACACGUGCUACAAUGGCCGGUACAGACGGACGCAAAGCCGCGAGGUGGAGCAAAUCCUAAAAAGCCGGUCUCAGUUCGGAUUGCAGGCUGCAAUUCGCCUGCAUGAAGUCGGAAUCGCUAGUAAUCGCAGGUCAGCAUACUGCGGUGAAUACGUUCCCGGGCCUU
rnacentral:rRNA from 1 species